UCUUUCUAUCCCCCAUUCUCACUCUUUUCCCUUCUCCCAGCCUAUUCUUCCUCCAUCUCCAUCUCCAUUAGUCUUCUUCACGACUACAUACCCUAUUCCCUUUUUCUUUCUCACCAACUUUGCUCUAUCUUAAAUCCCUCUUUUUUUCUCCCUUUUUCUUCUCUUUAUUUUCUGUCCUCAACUAGAUCUUCUCCAACCAUUAAUUUCAUUGUUUUUCACCUCCCUCUCCCUCUUUUACAAUCAAAUGAUCACCAUCUAUUUUUGGUACCAACUCUAUAUUGUACCAACUCCAUCCCUGACAUUAUUCUCUCUCUAUUAAACCCUUCUUACUACUCAACCCUCCUCCCAAACCACGCAAAUUGUCCAAUGCUUUUCCUAGUCAUUAUUGUUCACUACCUAUUUGACCAUUUUUGGUCAAUUUUGGGUAAAUUUAUUUAGUCUAGAGAAACCCCUAAACAAAUUAUAAAAUGCCAUAUAUAUGUUGUUUUGAAACAAAACCCCAUUCAUAGAUUUUCAGAUUGGUCAAGUCUUUAACAUCCUCUUCUAGAUGAGAUAAGGUUAGUAAUAUUUUUUUAUUCCACUUAAUUACUGUAAAUUUGGUAAUAUUAUUAUUAGUCAUUUCAUUCUAUAUAAAAAUAGAUUGUCUUAUUGAUUGUUUGUUUAUGAACAGAUUUGUAUCAAAUUGUGCAUGUUAGACAUGAUUGUGAACAUGUAUUUUAUUUUAUUUUUUAUAAAUUUAGUAAUACUUUUAUAAAAGUACACUGGCAAAGAAGGUCGUGCUAGGACAUAAUCUGGACUAGAAAAUUUAUUUUGAGGUGGCAUGCAUUAACAUAUCUAUGCUUUACUAUAUUACAUAGAGUUUUUUCAAGUUGUUUUUGGGGCAAAGGUUUAAAUUUAUAAGAAUAUUUUUUAGUAUUAUCAAUCUCUUAAGGAUAAGAGAUCUAAUUUAUUAAGAGUUGGGGGAUGGUAGCCCCUCUUCGUUAGGGUGUUUAGAGAUUGGAUAUUAAAUCAGCCAACUAAAUGGCUAAUUUGAUUUGGAUCAUUCAUCUUUUGAUCCAUAAUGAAAUUCUCUCAAAGUGCACAUCCCUUUUUAGCUAUCAAAUCAAGUGGAUGUUCAAUGUGGUCCAUCUAGUCAUUUUCUUUAAUUCUAUAAACUUCAAUAAGUAAAUUGGCAUGAAAGUAUGGGAGGGGAUGAGGUUGGACUAUGUGAGGAAGAGGGGGUGGCCAAAAAGGGCAGGAGGAGGAGGGUAGAAGAGAGAGAGAGAGAGAGAGAGAAGAGGGGAGGGUAGCUCCUUGUGGUUGGUGGUUGUGAUGGGUGAUUGGAAAUUUUUAACAAAUUUAUAAAAACUACUCAAAAAAUUUUUAAAUUCUAAGAACAUCUCAAAAUACAACUUUAUAAAUAUUGAAUCCAAAGGAACCAUUUAGAGUAAAAAAUUUUCACAUACACCAUUACAGUAAAAUUUUUAAAAAAAUCUCUAAAAACACCUAACCCAUACUGAGCGUAUCAUGAAAAAUGAAGUUAGACAUUGGAAAUGAGUAAAAGGAGAUCAAAUUAGCAUAGAUUACUAGUUUUGGUGUUAAGUUUAUUGUAUAAAAUGAAAAAUAACAAUGAAAAAUACUAUGCCAAUUGGAUCGAAUAUCUAUAGAUCACAAAAUAUAUGAUUCACAUCGGAUUAACAAAACCUUUCAAUAUCUAUGUGAUAUGAUUUGUAUAUGAUCUAGCAGAUCAAAUAUUCACAAAAAGUGGAUUGGAUUAUGUGAUAUCUAACCAUUUUGAGCACCUAUUCUCUUAGUCCCCUAGUUCUGUCUAUGGACUAGAAUUUAUAGCUUGCGACAUAGUUUAUGGAAAUAGUUUGCAAAAGAAGGAUAUUGAAGUUCAAUGAGGAAAUUAAAUAGGAUAAUGUAUGAUCACAUUAUUUUCUAAUGGAUUAUACACAUAGCCACCCAUAAUAUAUUUAUUAAGUGUAGGUACUUUUUUCAUUAGUAGGUAUAUAUAUUUUCAUAUAGUGUAGGUAAUUUUUAACAUUAGUAGAUAUAGAUUAUAAUACAUAUGCAAAGAAAAAAAACUAAAAUUUGAAUAAAGAAUAUGUAUCAUCCACACCUCCUAGUGUAAAAGAUUUUCUUUACAUUGGCAAUUUAGGUAGUAGAAAGAGGUGUGUAUAUAUACAUAUAUAUAUAUAUAUAUAGUCUCCUAUAAAAAAAUAUGGUGAGUUUUGGUGGUUAAAAGUGUAAAUAAAAGUUGAUCUUAAUGUUUAUGAUACCCAAAUCACUCUUAUCACCAAUAAAUAGAUAAAUUGCAUUGCAUUUCCUUAAUAAUUGAUAAAAAUUAUGCUAACCAUUACAAAAAUGAACAUUCCCUUGAGUUGUGAUGAAUUAUACCAACAAAAGGUCAAAACUUAUCCCAUUUCAUCAAUAAUUAAUAUCAACUCAAUUAUGCUAAAAUCUACAAAGAUAAAAACAUUCCUUUAAGUAAUGGUGAAUUGAACCAAACAUGUAGAAUAAAUUUUAUUUACAAUAUAUCCAAGUUUAUAGAGUACUUCAAACAUGAAAACAAAAAGGGUAAAUUACAUAUAACCUCACUAUAAUUUUGCAUAAUGCUAGAUGAUCCCCUUAAAGUUUCAUAAUAACCAUAUGAACCCUAUGUGAUUUUAUAUAAAGUGAAAUAUAGACAGAAUACAAUAUCAAUCACGGCUAUUGAAUGAGAUGCGCUCUAAAAGUAUGUGUGAUGGAUCUAUGAUAUCCACAUGACCCCUCUAUGAUUUCUAUGAAUAUUCUACAUAAUCCUCUUAUGACUUUAUGAAAGGUGGGUAAACUCUUAUUUGAUUUAGGAUUUAAGUAAGAGUACUGCUAGAAUUUUAACUAAUGACAUUACUUAGGCUAUCCACAAAGUUAAGUGACCCAAAUUGGAGUAAUGGAAUUUCAAUAUAAGUUAAAUUAUGUUACAGUUGCAGUAGCAUUAUAAAUUAUUUUACAAUCCAUCCUUAACCAAAAACUAAAGAGAAAAACUCAUAAAACAAAUAAAAAAUGCAUGUAGUGAUAUGAAGGAAAACAAAUAAUCGUUCAAGAAGAUGAAAAUUUUAACUCAAAUGACAUAAAAGAGAAUAUUUAAGUCACCCAAAUUCAAUAGAAAGACAAAAAAAAAUAAAAAUAAAGGAUGCUUGUUGGUUGUGCAAUUUUGUUGGUCAAAGUAGAUGAAGUUAAAAAAAAAUAGAAAUAUUAAAUAUCAUUAUAUUUUUUUUGUCCAAAUUACAUUUAUUCCUUUAAAAAUUUUGAUUUCUUAAUAUCUUGAUGGGAAGAAAGAAAAAAAAAUCCAAAGCACAAUGUUCAUGUGCAAAGCGUGUGCUCCAUUACUAAUACAUAUAUAAAUAUACAGAUAUGUAUACACACACACACUCAUAUGUAUAUUUAUAUUUGUAUGCACAUAAUACACGUUUAUUCUUAUCCUAUGUAAUAAGUGCCCAACAUAAUUAUUCUAGUCAUAUAACAUCUUUGGAUCUAUGGCUUUAGAGGACAAGCUUUAUUAUUGAUAUUUCAUAUAUGAAAAUUUUAUGUAUGUACUUUGGUUAUUGGAAAGUUUAUAUGAUGUGUUUCAUUCGAGUUGUCCCAACACUUUGAGCAUCAUAACUUGAACUACAAGCCAAGGUAGGAUUGAUAGCCUAUGAGAGGAGUUUUACCUAUUUAAGCGACAUUUAGAUUUAAUAAAUAUAGCAAUAAAUUAUUUAACUAUUGCUAUUAUCUACUUGCAAGAUAUGGCUAAAUGAAACAACUGGGGAAUUUACUUUUGGCCAAGACAAAACAAAGCCCUUCAAAAGUAUGUUCCUACCCACUUUUGUUAGUGCGGGCAUGAUUUUCCUAAUGAGGGGGUGAUUCAUGUUGCUAAUGAAAUGGAUAGGCUACUAAGGGAAAGUGAAACCUAGUGUAGAGAAAACAAACGAACUUUUGAGAAAUAGGAUUGCUGUUUUGGAGGAAAAGAAAAGGAUGUUGGAAGCAGACGGCAAAAUUGCAUGCUAGGAAUCGAAACUUCGUCACCAUUGGGAGGAAAGUAUCAUAAAUUGAACACUACUCUAAGGAUAAUUAUUUUACAAUCCAUCAUGAACCAAAAAAAGUAAAGAGCAAAGCUCACCAAGAAUAAUAAAAAAUUCAUAUAAUGACAUGAAUGAAUACAAAUAAUUUUUCAAGGAGAUGAAAAUUUUAACUCAAGUGACAUAAAAGAAAACAUUCAAGUUAUCCAAAUUCAACAGAAUGACAAAAACAACAAAGGAUGCUUGUUUCUUGUGCAUUUGUGUUGGUUAGGGUUGGCCAAGUCCAAAAAAAGUAUAUAAUGAUAUAAAUAUUAAAUAUAACAUGAAUUUUUAUCUCAAUUACAUUUAUUCCUUCAAAAAAUUGAUUUUCUUUAUAUUUUGAGAAAAAAAGGGAAAAAAUCUGAAAGCAUCAGGUCCACAUGCAAAGCAUGUGUUCCAUUACUAGUACAUAUGUAAAUAAAUAGAUAUAUAUAUAUGUUUACAUUUAAUACAUGUUUAUACAUGUAUUAAAUGAUAUAAAAGAAAACAUUCAAGUUAUCCAAAUUCAACAGAAUGACAAAAACAACAAAGGAUGCUUGUUUCUUGUGCAUUUGUGUUGGUUAGGGUUGGCCAAGUCCAAAAAAAGUAUAUAAUGAUAUAAAUUUUAAAUAUAACAUUAAUUUUUAUCUCAAUUACAUUUAUUCCUUCAAAAAAUUGAUGAUAUAUAUAUAUAUAUAUAUAUAUAUAUAUAUAUAUAUAUAUGUUUACAUUUAAUACAUGUGUUCCAUUACUAGUACGAGCACGCACACUCGUACAUUUAUAUAUGUAUACAUUUAAUACAUGUUUAUUCUUAUCCUAACCAAUAAGUGCCCAAAAUAAUUAUUCUAGCCAUAUAACCUCUUUGGAUCUAUAGCUUUAGGAGACUAGCUUUAUUGUUGAUUUUCUGCAAAUGAAAAUUUCAUGUAUGCAGUUUCGCUGUUGGACAGCUGAUAUUGAUGAUAUGUAUAAUUCAAGUUGUCACAGCACUCUGAGCAUCACAACUUAAACUACAAGCCAAGAUAGGGUUGAUAGCCUAUGAGAGUAAUUUCAUUUUUUUAAGCGAUAUUUGGGUUUAAAAAAUAUGGCAAUGAAUUAAUCAGAUAUUGCUAUUAUCUACUUGUCGGACAUGGCUAAACAAAAUAAUCGGGGAAUUCACUUUCGUCCAAGGCAAAGCGAAACCCUUCAUAAAUAUGUUUCUGAACCACUUUUGUUAGUGUGCAAUGAUUUUUCCAAUGAGGAGGUGAUUCAUGUUGAGAAACAAACAUUUGAGAUCAUAAGAUUGCUGUGUCAGAGGAAAAGAUUAGGAUGUUGGAAGCAGACGGCAAAAUUGCAUACGAGAAAUCCAAACUUUGUCAUUGUUGUAAGGAAAAGUAUCAUAAAUUGAACAUUACUUUAAGGAAUAAUUAUUUUACAAUCCAUCAUCAAACAAAAAAAAUAAAGAGAAAAACUCACUAAAGUACUAAAAAAUUCACAAAGUGAUAUGAAUGAAAACAAAUAAUUGUUCAAGAAGGUGAAAAUUUUAACUCAAAUCACAUAAAAGAGAACAUUCAAGUCACCCAAAUUUAACAAAAAGACAAAAACCACAAAGGAGGUUUGUUGCUUGUGUCUUUGUGUUCGUGUAUAUAUAUAUAUAUAUAUAUAUAUAUAUAUAUAUAUAUAUAUCAAAUAUCACAUCAUUUUUUGUCUCAAUUACAUUUAUUCUUUCAAAAAAAAUUUAAUUUUCUUCAUAUUUUGAGGGAAAAAAAUCCAAAAGUACCACAUUCACGUGCAAAACACGUUCUCCGUUACUAGUACGAAUAUAAAUAUACAAAUAUGUGUGCAUGUGUGUGUAUAUACAAACAUACACACACACAGAUGUGUUGGGUUCGGAGACAAUGACAGACCAAGUGCCGGUAGACUGGGUCAUCUUGGCUUGAUCGAUGGAUGUAACUUCCACAAUUGCUCUGCCUUGUAGCAUUUGGGCCACUUGACUUUGAUGGAGAAUGGGUUCUCUUGGCUUCAGUAAUUGCACUGUCGCUGUAGACCAUAACAGCGUCAUCAUUGACCAUUUUUGCAAGUGUUUGUAAAGUGCCUGAAUGAAAUGUCCAGUUGACUAGAAAUUGUACGUGAUUCGUGUUAGGACACGAAAUAUGAAAAAAAGGGAAAGAGGAGUGAAGACCUUAAGAAGAUGAUUGGGGAAAAUCAGAAAUGAGGCGUGGGAGUAUGGUUUGAGAAGCUUUUGGCAGGUUACUCUAUUAGGCUUGUGGGGAGGAAAUUAGACAAAGUAGAAAGUUCCGAUGUCUCCAGACUCCUGGAAAUGUGCUUUACUAUGCUUGACUGCUUCGCAUACCAUCUAUGGAUUACCUUUUUUUUUUCUCUUUUUUUGCAUCUACCUUUUAUUGUACAUUUGCUUGUUAUUUUGUUGUCUUCAACUACCAAUUUCCUUUGGAUGAAUUUCAAUCAACUAAUGGGAGUUUGCAAUUAGGGUUUGUUUUGGGUUGAGAUGAAUUGCAGCUUGCAGUUAAUGGUGUGCUAGUUC
rnacentral:lncRNA from 1 species